rnacentral:rRNA from 1 species
CCCAGACUCCUACGGGAGGCAGCAGUGGGGGAUAUUGCACAAUGGGGGAAACCCUGAUGCAGCGACGCCGCGUGAGUGAAGAAGUAUUUCGGUAUGUAAAGCUCUAUCAGCAGGGAAGAAAAAAGACGGUACCUGACUAAGAAGCCCCGGCUAACUACGUGCCAGCAGCCGCGGUAAUACGUAGGGGGCAAGCGUUAUCCGGAUUUACUGGGUGUAAAGGGAGCGUAGACGGCGAUGCAAGCCAGAUGUGAAAGCCCGGGGCUCAACCCCGGGACUGCAUUUGGAACUGUGUGGCUGGAGUGUCGGAGAGGCAGGCGGAAUUCCUAGUGUAGCGGUGAAAUGCGUAGAUAUUAGGAGGAACACCAGUGGCGAAGGCGGCCUGCUGGACGAUGACUGACGUUGAGGCUCGAAAGCGUGGGGAGCAAACAGGAUUAGAUACCCGAGUAU